rnacentral:lncRNA from 1 species
UGUAUGGUAACACUUUGUAAUGCAGUUCACGUUUUUCACUAUGAGUGCAGUACUCUAAUUAUAAACUUUUAGACAACUGUGCUUACUGACUGACUGCAAUUGGCAAAUAAAACUUCAAUAAAAAUACCACAUCUGGUAAAAGUGGAAUGAUUGUGAUUAGUAAACCUGUGAUCCAUCCCAGUGCAUACUUCUGUAUCGAUUAUUUCCACUUUGAAAAGUUUCCUGUUCGUGCUCUUUCUUUGCAGUUAAAGAGAAACAUGAGGAACACAUUCUAGUAUUAGAAUCUCUUUUUCCUGAAGGACGGACUGCUCUUGAAUUGUCCAAAUUUGUCAUAAAACUAAUUCAUUAUUCUGAGGUUACCUUUCAUUCUGCAAAUCGUGCAAGACAACAUUAGCUCUGAUCUUAGCAGCAACUAACCACUUCCUUUUUUUAUCAGCUCCUCCUCCUCAGAAAUAUAAAGUUGGGGGUGAAGAUGAGGCCUGUUUCACUCUCUCACUGUCGGCCAUGAUAUUACAACUGAACCAAACAGCGCUGCUCUUCAUUCAGCUGUUAGUGAUGCUGCGUGUCUUUGCAGUGAAGCCUGAAGAAAACAACAGAGUUAUGUUGGCAUUCAGAGGAGAUCCAGUGACGCUGACUUGUAACAUAUCUGAGAAAAAUGCAUCACAAAUCUCCUGGACAAACAGCAGAUCUGUUUUUCAAUAUUCUAUCCAGCUGAAUCGCACUUUUUCAAAUUUUUCAUCUAACAGACUAAAAAUAACUCCCGAGUUACCUACAAAGCUAAUUAUUGUUAGUGCUCAACCUGAGGAUGAAGGACUUUAUACAUGUAGCAUAACUGACCUAGAUGGCCUACACACCAUUACAUGGAAUUUAACUGUGUCUGAGAACCCAGAAGAAUCGAUUUCAUCAAAGUAUUUUACAUUCAUACUUCCAUCUGCAAUUGGAUUCCUUCUGUGUGGCAUCACACUGGCUGUCUUCUUCUACAGAAAAAUGAUGAUGAGGACACUGAAUCAGGAUCCAGUCCAGGAUCAGUUUCCCCCUCAUUCAGGAGAAGAGGCAGCACACUCACAACCACAGGGUGGCACUGCUCUUUGUACAAACAACAAACGGAGCAGUCAGUAUAUGGAGAGGCUGAAUUUAAUCUAUGGUCACUUCUGA